UGGACAAUUAUUGUAUUCGAGUGUAUUCACGGCAUGAAAUAAGGGAUUACAUUGUUUUUAAAACAUAUAGUGAAUUAAUUAACAUAAUAGACUCCU
rnacentral:pre_miRNA from 1 species